GUCGAUGUCGAUGCCGGCGACUCCUGGGACACCAGCGACUCCGGUGACACCGACGACGCCGGUGUCAGCGCGUAAGGAGAACGUCUGGAGGAGCGUGUUCCAUCCGGGUAGCAACCUUGCUACUAAAAGCAUUGGUGCUGAGGUUUUCGACAAGCCACAGCCCAACUCUCCAACCGUCUAUGACUGGUACGUACAGAGUCUCCUUUUCUAUUCAUUUUUCCCCCCAACCACCUGCAUGCAUGGAUAUACGCUGGCGCGCCGCACGCGAUCUAGCUUUUGGGGCUGGUGAUCCACUUACCCAUCUAUUUGGUUGCUGAGAAAAUGAAUCAAAAUCAUAGCAUCUCUCUAUAUACAAAUACUGUAUAUCUAGUUCUUUUUCUUUUCGAUCAAAUUAAGAAUUUAAAAGAAAAACAGAAGCCUCAAAGAGUUUCUAUUUUCUUUUUGUUUUUCUAACGUUUUCUCAGCAACCAAACGGAGGUUCAGAGUCAGAGAAGGAAGGAAAACUUGGCUAUUUGUUUGGUAGCUGCGUGGAAAUAAUUCUUUUGAGUAGACACCCUUGUGCUCAGAUGGUAUAACACUGUGCUGUUUUAUUUACACUAAUCCUUUUAUUUUCCUCUGUAUAAUAUAAAGUUAGAUUUUUAAUCAUUCUCGUGAUGAUUCUGAAUCGAAGGGUGUGGAUCUAAUUUCUGGGUAUCAACUAAAUUGUACUAAGAUCAAGUUGGUCGGAUUUGAUGACACAGGCUUUACAGUGGGGAGACGAGGAGCAAGCAUCACCGCUGAUUGGGUGGUGAUCAUGACAAGGCAGCUAGCGGAAAGGCUUUGCCUUUAACCAGGGGUUGCAUGUAAAUAGCGUCUUUUCCCAGUUUCGGAUGUCCCACGUGUCCUUGUUUUGGUCGUGUUUGUCAUUACGUGUCCUAAGUAGAUGUUAAGAGCUGACUAAAGCUUUAGCCGCCCUUCCUCCUUUUUUGUGAGUAAUGAUGCCUAAGGUUUGUGGAAUGGUGCUGGCUCAAACGCUACAGCCCCCACGGUGUCUAGGUGAUCUUUGGUCAUUCAAGAUCCGGCCGUGAGCGGCGGCGAUGGUAAUGAGCUACUCUUAUUAUUAUUAUUUGAAUAAAUAAAUUUAAGGGUAUUGUAUUAUGUGAAUAAAUAUGUUAUUUAAUUAAUUAAUUUUGUGUUCAUCAAUGGAAGAGCUUAUGGUUGA
rnacentral:lncRNA from 1 species